AGGACCCAGAUGCUAUACAGUGGGAAAACCAGCCUGGCAACAUAAGCUCACAAGCUAUCAGAAAGUUGUAUGGCAACCACCUCCGGCGCCAAAUAGAACUGGCAGACAGACAUUCAGUACAAGAAGAAAAAGAUGGAAAAUCUUGCACUGGAGUCCGAAAUAAAAAGAGGACAAUUAGGAAACUGGACCUUGAAAUAAAAAAACUUGAGAGGGAGCUCCAAGAAGAUGACACAGCUCAAAAUAAAAAUUAGGUAUAUUCUCGUAAAGUCAAGUGAGCCAUGACAUAUGAGCUCUUAUUGUGAGCACACAGGACGGUGGCAUCUUUCUAAGGUUUUUUUUUUAUUUUCCCAGCAAUCAGUACAACCAAGUCAUCGUUAUAAGGCAUCGCCCUCUUUUGCCCACCCCCAGCACCAGGUGUGGCCACUAGCCUAUAUGAAGGCCCAAAAUUGUGUGUUCCUUUCUGCUCUGACAAUGGCAUGCCCAUUCGUGCGAGAUGUGGUGGAUGAAGAAGCACUUGUGCUGAGGAGAGCCUUCAGGCGAGAAAGGGUCUUCAGGGACCGGUUGGACCCACUGGCCUUCCCUGAUGACCAUCUAUAUGAAAGAUACAGGUUUUCUGCAGAUGGCAUCAGGUAUCUAUGCAGACUACUGGGUCCCAGGAUUAAGCACCGCACUGCACGGAGCCAUGCACUGAGUGUGGAGCAAAUGGUUUGUGUGGCCUUGCGCUUUUUUGCUAGUGGAGCCUUCCUGUACUCAGUGGGGGAUGCAGAACAGCUGAACAAGGCCACAAUUUGCCGCACAAUAAGGAGUGUGUGUCUGGCUAUCAAAGCAUUAGCAGAUGUCUUCAUCUCCUUCCCUGGCCACAGAAGACUCUGUGACAUCAAAGAGGAGUUCUAUAGGAUUGCAGGUUUCCCCAAUGUCAUUGGUGCAGUGGACUGCACACACAAGGAUAAAAGCCCC